rnacentral:lncRNA from 1 species
CUGCUCACCAAAUGCUCAGAGGCACUCCAGUUCCUUGGGUCCUGUUUUUGAUCACGAAGAUCUACUGAGACGAAAAAGAAAAAUACUGUCCUCAGAUGAGUCUCUCAGAUCCUCAAGGCUGCAGUCCCAUACGAGACAAUCAGAUAGCUCUUCUUCUCUGGCUUCUGAGAGAGAACACAUCACGUCUUUAGACCUUUCUGCCAACGAACUGAAAGAUAUUGAUGCUCUGGGCCAGAAGUGUUGCCUCAGUAGCCACCUGGAGCAUCUCACCAAGCUGGAACUUCACCAGAAUUCACUCACGAGCUUCCCACAACAGCUGUGUGAGACUCUGAAGUGCUUGACACAUCUGGAUUUGCACAGUAACAAAUUCGCCACCUUUCCCUCCUUCAUGUUGAAAAU